UUUAAAAUAAUAUAAUACAGCCCAGCAGGCAUGACUCCAUGGUUGAAUGUCAACCUAUGAACCUGGAGGUCAUGGUUCAAUUCCAGGUUAGGGCACAUGGUUG